UACGUAGGGUGCAAGCGUUGUCCGGAAUUAUUGGGCGUAAAGGGCUCGUAGGCGGUUUGUCGCGUCGAAUGUGAAAACCCGGGGCUCAACCCCGGGCCUGCAUUCGAUACGGGCAGACUAGAGUUCGGUAGGGGAGUCUGGAAUUCCUGGUGUAGCGGUGAAAUGCGCAGAUAUCAGGAGGAACACCGGUGGCGAAGGCGGGACUCUGGGCCGAUACUGACGCUGAGGAGCGAAAGCGUGGGGAGCGAACAGG
rnacentral:rRNA from 1 species